GGUAGAUGCCUUCCACUCGACUUUGAGGUCCUAGACUUGACUGUCUGGACAUCAAUCGAGGGAUGGAUUGGUUUCUGCUCGUGGUGCUAUCUUGGUCUGCUGAGACAAGGUAGUCAGAUUCUGAGGACAGGAUGGGUCAGAGGUAGUCUUCUGAGGGGACACAGUAGGGAUGCCUAGAAGUUUGAUGUCAGCCUGUCAGGUUCAUAAGGUGCGUAGGAG
rnacentral:lncRNA from 1 species